GACGAACGCUGGCGGCGUGCUUAACACAUGCAAGUCGAACGGAAAGGCCCUGCUUUUGUGGGGUGCUCGAGUGGCGAACGGGUGAGUAACACGUGAGUAACCUGCCCUUGACUUUGGGAUAACUUCAGGAAACUGGGGCUAAUACCGGAUAGGAGCUCCUGCUGCAUGGUGGGGGUUGGAAAGUUUCGGCGGUUGGGGAUGGACUCGCGGCUUAUCAGCUUGUUGGUGGGGUAGUGGCUUACCAAGGCUUUGACGGGUAGCCGGCCUGAGAGGGUGACCGGCCACCUGGGGACUGAGAUACGGCCCAGGCUCCUGCGGGAGGCAGCAGUGGGGAAUAUUGAACAAUGGGCGGAAGCCUGAAGCAGCAACGCCGCGGGCGGGAGGACGGCUUUCGGGUUGUAAACCGCGUUCGCCUGUGACGAAGCGUGAGUGACGGUAAUGGGUAAAGAAGCACCGGCUAACUACGU
rnacentral:rRNA from 1 species